GGUUAUGGCUCAGCGGUAGAGUGCUUGCCUUGCAUGUGCAAGGCCCUGGGUUCGAUCCUCAGCACCA
rnacentral:tRNA from 1 species